AGGGCCAGGGAUCUCCUCUGACAUUGCUAGGCCUGUGCCUGUGUUCUGAAAACACUCAAAGGUUUCCAAAGAAUAGCCUGAAAGGGCCCCACAGAGAUAAUGUUGUGUGUUCAAGCCAUCCCUCCCUCAUUCCCUUCCUUUCUUUUACCUUCAUGAGAAAUCUGUGUACUGAGCUUUGGUUCUGGAAAGAGUUGAAUUGGAGUCAAGAUCCUAAGUGUCUUCUCUGGGCCUCCCAUUGCUAGCUUAUGUGACUUUGGGCAAGUUUCUUAAACCAGUAAAUCUCAGUUUUGUCAUCUGCAAAAUGGGGAUAAUUGAAAUAGAUACCUCGCUGAGUUGGAAAUCUACAUGAAGUGCUUACGGCAGGAAAACCUUCCUGAAUAUAAGCUAUAAUAAUAUUUAUUAUUAUUUAAAAUUUUCUUUAAGUUUAUUUAUUUUUGAGAAAGAGGGAGCAUGAGUGGGGAAGGGGCAGAGAGAGAGACACACACAGAAUCUGAAGCAGGCUCCAGGGUCUGCGCUGUCAGCAUAGAACCCAACACAGGGCUUGAACUCAUGAACCGUGAGAUCAUGACCUGAGCCAAGGUCGAACAUUUAACCAACUGAUCCACCCAGGCGCCCCGAUAAUGGUAUUCAUUAUAAUGUUAGGUAGUAGCACGCACAUCAGCCCCCUCUGGGCCUCAGUGUCCUCAACUGUGUACUUGGAAGGUUCAAUGGGAGGAUCCUCAAUGCAAUUUUCUGCUCUAAACUUCUCUUUAUGCUUAAGAGACAAAAAGCGAGUGGCUUUGAUCCAACCCUGGAGUGCUAUUUCUCAAAGUCUGUACACGAUUUCUCAUGCCUCGGGAUAGAUGUAUCACCCAAUCCAUGGAAAUUAUAAGGAGUCCAGCAAGACCAGCAAAUAUGUGGGUCCCUGUUCCCCCAGACAUCUUACUUUAACUCAUCUGAACAGAAAACAUCUACCUGGGAGGAAAAUAACAGACACGUAGAGGAGAGGGAGAGGAAUGGAGCCAGUCAGCGGGGAGUCUUGGUGACCUUGGCAGACACAUCCAAGUGCUAAAAAUAGGGACAGCUCUAGUGGCCCUUGUUUGUAACAUGUGUGGGACAGCUGCCGCCUACGUGAGUGGGAUGUAUUUGGCUAGGCUCUGAGUUGCUGAUGGGGAAGAGCCAAAGGGAAUAGGGAUAGGGAGGAAGUUGCCUCCUCAGCUUCGAGCUCAAAGCGUUUUUCGUUCCCUUCCUAAUAAGCUUACUCUAAAGAAGCUGCUAGCCUCUCUCACUCCAGCAGCUGGAGGAUCCACCCUGCUCCCCCCACUCCUCCCAUGCCGGUUCUGUCUGCCCAGGGAUCAGAGCAGCGGUUGUAGGAGAGAGUGGGAAGUAUCAGCCAAAGAGGAGUUGGAGCAGGCAGACUGGCAAGGAGGCAGAAUUCUUCCAUUCCUCCAUGAGCCGCUCUAACCUGUUCUGUUUUGUCCCCUUCAAUUUCUGCUGCUUUCCCUGGGCCUUCAGUUGAUGCCCCGGUUACUCUGCGUUUGAUCUUUCCUGGUCUCUUAGCUACCAAAUCAGACGGACAAGUCCUUUCUGCCAGAGUCUGAUGUCUAAGGUGUUAGAUCCGGUGAAUUCAUAGUUUAUGGAGUGCCUAUCUUGUGCUGGGCAUUACGCUAAUUUACUUCAGACCAGAGACUGCAAAGUCGCAGCCUCUAGGCGUACCCAGACGACAGGUAGGAUCCGUCUAGUGUGUUCAAGAAAUCCGAACUACUUCCCACGUUGAAUCAUUGGGAAAUUUCACAUUGAAAAGCCAGAUCUCUGCUUUUCUAGAAAAAUGGAUAGAUCUGGGGAAAUUAGUAGGCCCACGUUGCUGCAGGCAGGUUUCCAAUCUGCAGGAGCCUGGGUGAGGCUUCUCUUUGUAUAAGGGAAUGAAUUCCCCUCCGCACUCCUAUUGCCACACACUUGGGGGAUUCCAUUAGUUAUCUGCCUGGUACUUAAAACUGUAACCCUCCUUAGUCCUCUAAAUAGCCCUCUGAGUUUCUCUCAUUGUCCUCAUUCUGUAGAUGAAAACUGAGGCUCAGUUCUUAUAGAAGUUCCAGGCAUCGUAUGGCUAAUACACAGUUUUGCUGGGUUUUGAAUGCAAGCCUACAGUGUGGGUGACAGUGUCAGAUUGCCGUUACCAGAAAAAUGCAGAGACUAGAAAAUGUGGAAUAUCGUAGGAGAGAUCCAUGCCUGGGGAGAGAGCUUAAGUAGAUGAUUUCUAGGGUUCAUUCCAGCUGUGGUCUAUAUACUGUAACUUCUCCUAAGGCACCAAAUUCUAUUGUAAAGAAUAUUUUGGGACACAUCGGGCCUUAGUUCAAACACUGGAGACUUCAUAUGUCAAGCCAGAAGAGGGAAUACAUCUUUAAACUUUUAUAUCAGUGGUCUUCAGUCCACCAUUGAUGAGGUGGUGUGGGAGAGCCUAUCCUGCUAGGGUAUGAGAACCGCAGGGCAGGACUGAAAAUGAGAAUCCAGCUAAGCCAGAGGGUCCAGGAGGAGACUUCCGUCCAGAUAGACCCAGAACUGCUAAUAAUGAGAUUGACCUUUCACAAUGUAUAUGUGUAUCAAAUCACCGUGCUAUACACUUUAAAUACCUUAAAAUUUUGUCAGUUAUACCUCAACAAAGCUGGGGGGAAAAGAUUAUGGUUUUAGGUGAAUCUUGACCCUGGUCGAGGAAGAGAAGAAAAGAAAAAGGAAACAAAUAUUUAAUGGAAUUCUGGUUACAUGCUGGGCAGAGUAUAAUGUACUAGUCAGAAAUGUAGACUCAACUCCGUGCUGAACACAAGACACACCUAACACGAAGUGAUUUUAAAAGGCAAAAAGCAAAGAGAUGGGUAAAGCGUACAAGGCAAAUAUAAACUAACAGCAAUGACAGCAAAAAGUACCACUUUUGAUCUUGAUAUAUGACAGGGUAAGAUGCAGACUGAAAACACAGAACAGGACAAAGAACUGGUUGAGGCUGAAGACCAGGGUUCACAAGGAACAUUCAACAGUUGUGGAUGCACCCCAAAUAACACAGCAGUGGCCUUUGUAGAAGAUGCAAGAAGAAAUCGAAAUGUACUAUUAGGUAAUUCAACAUGCCACUCUCGGUCCAAGAUAGGGCAAGUAGACAAAAGAUCAGUAAAGAUCUAAAAGACCCAAACAACGUCAUUAACAAGGGAGAUCUGGAUACAUCACAAACUUUGUACACUGAUAAUAAAGAACACACUUCCCUUUUCUAAAUGUAGAAAAUCCCAUUUUCUAAAUGCAGAUAGAACACUGACAAAAUUAACUAUAGAUUAGCUCACAAAAAGUGCAAUAAACUCCUUGAGGUAGGAAUAUUCUAAACGACAUUCUCUGAUCAUAGUGGAGUAAAAGUGGAAAACAAAUUGCAAAAUCGAAGUGCAGAAAACCUUUCUUCUUGGAUUUUUAAAAGCUGUGAAAUAACUCCUGGGUGAAAGGGGAAAUGGAAACUGAGAUGGUAGCCUUUCUGAGAAAAUGAAAAUAAUGCAUCCGUUAAACAUAAAAGAGAAAGGGAGAGUCUAGUUCAACGAUGGAAUGUGUGGAUUUCAGCAAGUAUCUCAUUCAAUCUAAUAACAACUCUCAGUAGUGGGUCCUCUAAUCUCUAUUUCAUAAACAGUGAAAUGUAGUUCAGAAGUGAGAGUUGAAGCAAACCGUAGAUCUGGGGUUCCAACACGAAGCCCAGCUUCUUAAUCACGAUAACCCAUUGCCUGUGACUCCAGCACCUGGCAGAACAGCUCACUUGAACUGUAAGUGCAAUGGCCAGGACUCAAUGGGCUCCUGGAUGCUGAGGCUUGAGAACUGAUGACAAAUGCCACAGCAGCUUGGGACUAAUCCCCUUGGUUGGUGAUGCACAGCUACUUAUAGUUUGCAUUAAAAACUCUAAUGUUCAAUUUCUCAAAUAGAAAAAGCCGUAGAACAGCAGGCAGGAUUGCUACUCUUUCUGUGGAAAAGGUCACCCAGCAGGCACUGAAUCCACAAGAAUAUGUCACUGCUAGUGGUUGUCAAUGAUUACAACAUUUUUUUAAAAAUUUCACUUCAUAAAUAACUCGUUCAUAAGCUCUUUGCUGCCCUUGUCCAGAGCUACAUCCCCAGUCCUCCAGACUAUUUGGACAUAUUCUCUACCGGGUGCUUUGUUUCCAGCUUGCUCCUUCGCUAUCCUCCACCAUCUACCCUACACCCAGCUAGCCAAGAGAAUAUGAAACACCCAAAAUUUAUCCAUUUGCUCAAGAUGGCUCCCUGUCACCUUCGCUGAUACCAAAACUACUCAGUAUUACAUAAAAACCUUAUGAGGUUCUGGAUCUUCCCUAAGUGUCCAGCUCUUCCCAUCUCAUCCUUUAUGCCCCAGCCACCCUUAAAUAAUUUACUUCCCUGACAACUUCCUAGUCACCUUCUAACACUCAGCACAGGUGAGACACUGGUCCCACUAUACCCUGUGUGUAGAUCUGUCCAUGAUGGCAGCUUUCAUAAUGACUUGAGAUUUUUUUCUUUUGUGCUUACCCAGUUCAUAAAGUUAUUAAGACCCCUUGAGGUCUGGAACAUCCCGUGUUGUCAUUUUAAUAUCCCAUCUUUCGAGAACAUUGCUUGAUACAAAGCAAGCAUUAAAAAAUAUGUGCUAUGUAUGAUAAAUGGCAUAUUCAUCUGUCCAUUUUUGGUAUUCUUUACCUUCUCAAACUUUAAAAAAAAAAAGCAAACAUCUUCCACUAAAUAGGCUUGGGAAUAAGAGAACAAAUAAAAACAUGGUUCCAUCUUGACAGGCACAGCAAACUUAAAUAAACCAUAACAACCCAUUAACAAAGCCUGUUACUGGGUUGAAAGCAGAUGGACCCUUAUGGAUGGUGUAUGAAGCUUUUGUCAUGACUAUGUGCUCCAGUAAUAGACUCCACUGUAGAUAUUCAUGGUUAAAUUAUGAAGCAAUGCAUACAGCUUUUUGUAAAACAGUGUGCAUUUCUAUUUACAGUAUACAAGUGAAAAAUCCACAGAAGAUGCCAUUGUAAUUUCAAAUAGAAGUGCUCCACUCAGCACACAGUGAUUCAGAGGGGUAUGAUCCAAUAAGUCCUAUAGUAGAUGCAGAUAUAUUCUCACAAAGUGCCCUCAGUGAUGUUACCACAAUCCAGCUCCCAAGUUGCAGCCACAGAGGAUCAGAAACCUGAUUAGUGGCAUAGUGACACUGGAUCCAUCUCCAAGGAGUGGGCUAAUAUUAACCAAAACAAAUGCAAUUGUCAAGCAGAAGUAAACACUGAAGUAGGACAGUAUGUAUGUCCUCCCAUCACAUACAGGUGGUCUGUAUUAGAAGACAAGUAGAGAAAUAAACAGAAUAUCAGAACACCAAGUAACAAAAACAAUAUGGACUUUCAAGGCAGCCUAAGCAAUGCAUUCUAUGUGAGGAAUUCAGCUGUCGCCAAGGUUAUCAAUACAAGAGAUGCUAGCAGACCUUAAGGUGUACAUUUUAGACAAGGAAGCGGGAAGCCACCCCUUCCGGGAUUAGGAGAGCUUUGCCAGAGUAGCCAUUAUGUUAGUUACUGCUUUACUGAGAGCCCCCAUCUCCCUUGGGCUGUGCAUAAAUACUCGGGGCUCCCCUAAGUGGAUGCCCCACUCCUCUUCUGUUCACCCAGUCUUAUUCCUGAUGGGGACCAGAGCAGUGGACUUUGUUUUUGCUUGUUAAAUUAAAUCAAAUUCUAGUCCUGGCUGUCCAAAGUGGCUCCCAUAUCCCUUUGUUUUGAGUUUUAGGUGAUCCCAAGUACUUUAGUUACACAUUUGGAAACACAAGUUCUUUUGGUGACCACCAGACAAGAGUAACCAUUUUACUAGUUGAGCCUGAUUUCCUACUUUUUCCAGUGUUUGGGGGCACACGAUAGCCCCCCUCACCCAAAGCUUAUGUAGAGUUCUCAACCAUACUCUUCAAACUUGGAAUCCUAUUGAAAAGGCUCCUCCAUUAGGUCAACCAGAGUGAAGAUUCAUGAGGUUCUACUGCCCAUCCUGUCUCUAUAGUAAAUCCUGGCUUGUGAAAAGAGCUUCUCCUAAGAGGCUCAUGAUAUGUGUAUUUUCUUGGUUCUGUUUUCUGCACUUUGGUUGGAUACACGAUGGUGGCCUCAUAACAGAAAGUAUUGCUAGCACACCACAAUUGACAAUGCAUUUUGGAAACAAAGGGGAAAAUGUGAAAUAAAGUUACAGUGGCACUAUAGUAAGUGGACACAUUUUCAAAUUAGGCCCAAAAAGGGCCCAAAUUAACCACCUGCUAAUAUCAGUGAGUAAAACUCUGGAGUUGAGGUUAGAAAAUGGGAGUUUGGAUCUCAGUUCUGUCACUUAGGCCCUUUCAUUUUAGAUAAAUUGCCUAAUCUCUCUGAUUCCGAGCUUCCUUGUCUAUAAAAUGUGCUUGCUGACACUGACCACGUAUAACUGUUGUAAGGAUUUGAUACCCCUGUAAGCAUCCCCUAAUUCCUGGUAGCAUAACUGUGCCAUAAAUGCAGCUUUCAACCAAAAUAUCCUCAGUCCUGGGCUCCAAGGGAGGGAGGAGUUUUCUUCCCAGCAGAAAGAAAUUUCCAGGUCAUCUCCUCAAACUGUUGGGGAGAGAUUAUUUGGUAAGACAUUCUUUCACAGAGGUUUUUAGCCUUCUGGGACUUCUGGCUCUCUGUAGGAAACUCAUUCCAGUUUCCCAAGUCAUGGGCCCACAGAACCUUAACUAUCAUGUAUAUAUCAAACUCCCAAGUUUUCAGCAACCCCCCCCCCCCCUGGCCACUACUGACCUACCUGCCACAACCCCAAUACUCACCACUGUUGUUUUCAAUGCCUUCCCAUCCUUUUUUUUUUUUUUAAUAUGGGAGUUUCCUUUUCUUUUUUGCAAGCUCAGUAGUACAUUAAAGCCCAAAAAGCAAGCUUUUCUUAUUAUAUCUUAUAUAAUAUAUCAAGGUGUUCAUAGCAGAAGUGUUUCUGAAUUUGUAUAGACCACCGUGGAUCUAGAAACCUCCUCACGUGGCUAAGUUAAACUUUUACCAUCAUGUAUAAAACUAAAGUCAAACAAACAAAUAAACCAACAAAAAAACAUGAGUAUUAUCUUUUGGAUGAUCUACCAGUUUCAUUUGAAAGUGUGGACUUCCCUCUACCACCAAGAGCACCAUUUUGGUCAUGUUUAUUCAUCUGUCUGUAUCCAUCUGUUACCUUUGUCUAUAUAUCUGUCUGUCUAUCUAUUACCUCUAUCUACUAUAGCCUCUAUCACAUUAUCUAUCUAUCCAUCCAUCCAUCCAUCCAUCCAUCCAUCCAUUCAUCCAUCUUUGCUUUUUACCUAGAUAACCCCUACUGAAAUAUUGUUACUCUGGAAGGGUAUGGAUAAAAAGAGAGAUGACCUUGGUGUUUUUCAACAGUGCUCACGUUCUGCUUUUGAGAAAUACAGGAAGUGAAAUAGAUAGUAAUGUUUCAACAGUUUGUUUAAAGGUGGUUGGGAAGGGAAAGUUCAGGGAGGUUGGACUGAAUUAGUCAGAGAUCUGAAAUAGGAAAUAAAGUCCUAAACAGUUAUGUUAUUUUUUUUUAAUGUUUAUUUAUUUUUGAGACAGAGAGAGACAGAGCAUGAAUGGGGGAGGGGCAGAGAGAGAGGGAGACACAGAAUCGGAAGCAGGCUCCAGGCUCUGAGCCAUCAGCCCAGAGCCCGACACGGGGCUCGAAUUCACGGACCGCGAGAUCGUGACCUGAGCUGAAGUCGGCCGCUUAACCGACUGAGCCACCCAGGCGCCCCAAGUUAUGUUAUUUUUUAAGUGUACAUAGUUAGGCAAAGCAAGAAGGCUUGCCUUUAGCAUCCACAACAGACCUAAGAAAACAGGUAAGACACUCCUUUUUAAAAGUUAUUUUAAUGAAAGCUUAAAUGUUAUCAAAAUAAUAAAAGCAGAUAGUUUUCAAAGAUUUAUUAUUAAAAAGCAAUGGGUGUUUAUCAUUCAUUUUGAAGCCUAUUUGUAAACCAUGAGAGAGACUCAUGUCUGAGAUAUGGGAAAUUUUCUCACAUUAUGUAUUUGGUAUUGUCCUUCUCCAUUUUCUUUGUUCUCUGUCUCUCUGGAUCCCCUGUUGGAAAGAUGACCUCAUAGAUUGGUUUUCUAAGUCUGUUUUUUUUUUUUCUCUAUUACUUCAGUCACACUUCUUAAAGUUUAUUUCUGUGACCCUUCUCAUGAAUAUAUUGUUUAAAUUUUAGCUAUUAUAUUUUAGCUCUUUAUUCUCUGAAUGUUCCUUUUUAGUGGAAUUUUGUUCUUGUUUUAUGGAUGCUAUAUUUUGUCUUAAUCCUUGGAGACUAUUAAUUAGGUUUGUUUACUUUUCUUUGUGCUCUUUGUUUUUUCUGUUAUUUUUUUUUUUUUUCCGCUUGUUUGUUCGGAUCUUCAUCUAACUUGCUGGAGUUUUCCUCAGAUGUUUGGUGAUCCUUUGGUAUCUGCUCAUUUUUUACACUGAGAGACAAAGAAACCUAUUGGAACCUUUGUGUGGGGAGGGGGUUUAUCAGUUGGUGAGAAUUCAUGUACGGUUAUUAUUUGGUGAGUCAGCCUUGCUGAGAGAUCCCUUCCAGUUCUGCAGAUGUUGAUGUUUGGAAGUUUCCUCUGGGUCCAUUAAGGUACUUAGGACAAUUUGCCGGUCCUUGGGUGUGGGUGGUGGUAGGAACACCCAGUUGUCAGCUUUCUGAGAGCCCCACUACUCAGCUUGCACACCUCACAUAGGACCCUGUUUCCAGCCCUGCAUCACCCCUGCCUCUGUCUCUGAUGCUCCCAGCCCCUGCAGGGUAUGCAGAGCCAAGGAGCGCACGCUUCUUUGGGUUCUCUCUGUAGCCCAUCAGGUUGUAGCAUUUUUGGCUCAUUCUUUAUGUGCAAUCGAUUACUGAGUUUCAUUGCUGUCUGUCCUUCAGACACAUAUUGAGCUCUGGCCUCUCAUUUUCUGGUGGGCUUAUACAUAUUUUACUGUUUUUCCUUACUGGGAUAUUUUAAGGGAGAGGAGAUGAACAUGAAUGGCCAAGCCACUGUUUUCCCCCCAAAAAACCUUGCAUAAUUUGCAUCUUUGUAUACAACAGAGUGCACAAAAGGUUCAUUUUAAUGAGCUUAAAUAACAUUUUCAUAGCCUUGUUAUUUUUAAGAAAAUCUGUUUCCUCCAUAGAUAAACUUGAGUGUUCAUCCUAAUUAUCAUAUAUUUUUAAUCUGUUGGAGAUGAAUUAGUAAGGUUUCCCUGGCAAUGGUAAGCUAGUGAAAAAAAGGGAAUUUAACUAUUUUUGGAUAGCCUUGAGGAAAGGAGUUGAGGAGAAUGUUCACCAAGCAUGGUUCCAUGAUUCAUCAAUACACAAUAAGAUGAGUUCAUUUUAGUUCAUUCCUGUACCUCUAAGCACCAUUCCAGGAAAAAUCUCAGUUUCCCCUCUUCAAAGAGCAUUUCAAAAGGUUGAACUUGACCAUCUGGGUGCUGAGAGACUUUUGCUAAUGUUGACUCUCAAUAUUUAGGUCUUGAUCCUUGGCUCUCAAUACAUUAAUUGAACUCCAUUUGGUUUGCAAAAAGCUGCCCCAGGAUUUUCCAGCUGAGAUAAUGAGCCUCUGAAAAUAACCCCGUGCUAGAAUGCAGGCAUCCUCUAUUCAAGUGGGCAUCACCUGCUGUGGGGAUGGGAGAAGGGGGAGAGAGGAGGAUUCACAGAGCAGCCCUGCCCUUCUUCCUCAGCACAUGCAUGGACUUUUACUUUCCUCAGUGGAGGAUGGUUUCAUGGCACGGAGAGCUGCAGAUACAUUUAGACAACACCUACUUGGACAUCCAGGUCCCGUGUCUGUUGACAGGUACUUUCUUUGUUCCAAAACAAAACUAGAACAGGAAUUUUCACGUUGGUGGUCCAUUCGACCUGGUUGAGAUGUCUUUCUUUUUCUUAUAUUUCAAUGUUUUAGCAAAUAGUUCUGACCAUCCAGGGUUUUUGCUAGGUCCUGAUCUGCAGCGGUUGCAGGGUUCUUGUCUUGACACAGCUUCUGGUCAGGUAGGGAAUGUGUACAAGUAACUGGGCAUUCCAAAACAGAACGCUAAAAGGUGAUGCAGGUGAGGGGCACCUGGGUGGGUCAGUCGGUUGGGAGUCCGACUUCGGCUCAGGUCACGAUCUCACCGCUCAUGGGUUUGAACCCUGUGUUGGGCUCUGUGUCUCCCUCUCUGUCUGCUCCUGCCCUGCUCACACUCUGUCUGUCUCUCUCUCUCUCAAGGAUAAAUAAACAUUAAAAAAAAUUUUUUUUUAAAGAUGAUGCAGGUGGAAAGGAUGCUCCAGUAGCUCCUUUGCAGGAAUACUACCCAAUCCAAAGUUCUGAUUUUUGGAAGGGGGUGGAUGGUGACAACGGGGAAUGAUUGUCAGAAGAAGUGAUGUCUGUGCUGAGACGCGAAUAAUAAACUAGAAGUUAGCCAGGUCAAAGUUUGGGGAAGGGAGAGAAAUCGGGUAUUCUUGGCAAAAGAGACAGUAUGAGUCUAGGCACCGAGGCAAGAAAAAACAUAGUUCUGUUAAAGAAUUGGAAGAAGUUCAGUCGCUUUGGAGUACUCUCUAAGAAGAAUGUGUCAAGAGUCUACAGAGGUGGUCACAUUCAGAGCUAAGCCCCUUUAUGUUUGGGACUUUAUUCUAGGCAGGGUCUAUAGCAGGGGAUUGACAUCACAAAGACCCCUCUGGCUUCAUAGUCAAGCAUGGACUGGCUGGGGGAGCAGUCAGAGGGUUACUGCAGAAAUUGAGGUGAGAAAUCAUCUUGGCCUCUGCUAGAGUAGGACAGAAGCCCUAAAGAGAAGUUGGAUGAAUUGGAGAGAUGUAAGGGCCAGAAUCUGCAGGAGUUCCUGAGAAAGUGGGCUUGAAGGCCUGAGCUAAAAGGAGUCCAGAACUAGUUUUGCUCUGUCAUUCUUGGACAUGGAGCCACCGUCAGUCAUACAUCUGGCCCCUAUCGCUAGGUGGUUACACUGGCCCUCGGUGAAUGGAACCGAGGAAAGUCAUGCUUGGCUGAAGGGUGGGAGUAAGCAGAAGCAUAGGACAGGUUUAGGCCUUUGACGAUACGGGCUUGAUUGACAGUCAGAGUGACUGUCUUUUGACAGUCUGAUGUCCUUUACCUGGACUUGCAGGCAUGGUGAGAAACCGCAGCACGUCUUGCAUUUCUUUUGCAUUUGCCCUAAUUCUUGGAAUAGCAUGGAGAAAUCGCUCACUGCAUCCAGAAUGGCAAUUGCACAGAUGCUGGUCGUGUCACUCUUGAAGCCUUAACUGAAGAAUGUUGAAUGAAGGAACCAUUUACAGAAGAGCAGGCUGUGUUAGAAGAACCAGCAAUGGAUGGAGAAGCACCCAGGUCUUAGCAACUGGGAAGCUGCUUCCACCCCAGGGACCGAGGAGAAGAGAAAGUUUCUGUGAGCUGGUCUCCUGUUCUUGCUUCUGAGUGGUUGCUGACAACUGGAAGGCAGAGUCUAGGGAGGCUGAGUGAUGUGCUUAGUACAUCGAGUUUUACUCUUGGAGCACAGAGCAAGGCAGAGAAGGGCAGAGAAUGAAUCUGGAGAAAGCAGAGACAAAAAAUAAAAUCGCAAAAAGUGUACUUAUGUUCUGUCUUUUCGAAAAUAGGUCUGAUGUAUAUACAAGUGACAACUAUACGAAAAACAUGGUUACCUCGAACACCUCGUUAGUGACUGAACCUAUAUUUAUACGGCCCUGCUUAAUAAAAGGUGCUGCAGGGGCACCUGGGUGGCUCAGUCGGUUAAGUGUCUGACUCUUGGUUUCGGUUCAGGUCACGAUCUUGCAGUUCUGGGGUUCAAGCCCCGCGUCAGACUGUGCACUGACGGCCCAGAGCCUGCUUGGGAUUCUCCUCUCUCUCUCUCUCCCUCUCUCUCUCUCUCUGCCCCUCCCCUGCUCUCUCUCUCUCAAAAAUAAAUAAAUUUAAAUAAAUAAAUAAAUAAAUAAAUGGUGCCAUGCCUCUUCUAGAAUUUUGAUCGAGAUUUCUUUUAGCCUCGGUGAUGCCCAGAGGAAAAGACCCUUUAUUUGUCUCAAGCUGGAGGUGCAGAAGGGAAGUGCAGCAGGGAGUGGCCAGGGUGGCUGAGCUGAGAAACGGCUUUCACGAUGGACUGUUGUCGUCUCCUCAGAGAGCAGGGGCCAGGGGGUGUGUCCUCUUCCAGUACAACAAAGCUGGGGAGUCAGAUAGGAGUGCUGCCGUCACCCUGCCCCAACCUGAUUCUAACAGUGACAUAGCCAGAGACAGACGAAGAUGGGAAGAGAGGAAGGGGUAUGUUUGAGCUGUAACCAUUCAUCAGUGGAAUCAAAACUGCAAAAUCUUUUUAAUGUUGUCUCAUCUAAAAUGCCAACUCACUUACCCUUAAUAGACACACUUGCAGUUGUAACGUGGUGCUUUUUUUCCCUCUAGGAGAAAGCGCUCUCCUCCACCCCUGUUAGGAAACACACAGUAAAGGCCAAGUGCUGCAAUUUGUUUUCGUUUCCUGUGCUAUUAAAUAUUCAGGCAAUCAGGAAAUGUUUCCUCAUGUUACCUGGAAACAAAACACUAGAUCCAGAAGUUCCAAUUCUUGGAGCUAGUUUCUCAAGCUCUCUGGCAAUAUUUUUUAUUAGAGGUGUUAGGCAAUCUUGAAAAGAUGAUUGAUUUUCAGGCCAGUCCAAUCUGGGUUUCAUUAUUAGCUUUUCUACUCAUGAUCUGGGUGACUUCAGUCAAUUUACUUAUCUUCAUUGAAUUUUUUAAAUAUAUAAAAUUAGGGUGAUAGUAUUUUUAUGUAUGCAUAUAGAAUUUUAAGAAUUAAAUAAGUUGAGGGUGCCUGGGUGGCUCGGUUGGUGAAGCAUCUGACUUCGGCUAAGGUCAGGUCAUGAUCUCACUGUUUGUGACUUCGAGCCCCGCAUCGGGCUCUGUGCUGACACCUUGGAUCCCGGAGCCUGCUUCAGAUUCUGGGUCUCCCUGUCUCUCUGCUCCUCCCCUGCUCGUGCUCUGUCUCUCAAAAAUAAAGAAACAUUAAAAAAAAAAUUUUUUUUAAAGAAUUAAAUAAGUUGAUAUGUGCCUAAUGCCUUACACCUAAGUAGGCACUUAGCAAAGACAAUCUCCUCCCAUUUACCUCUUUUUUUCUGUUCUAGAAAUAUCUAUCUCUCAUAAGAUCAGCAAAGGAUUCUUUCAGUGGCAUGACGAUGCAUUAAGAAUUUUUUAAUAGUUUUAUUAAGUGCUGGGAAAGCCCUGGGUAAAAUAUUGAGUUGAGAAGGUGUAACACAGCUGUUUAACAGAUGAAAAUCACAUUGUGACUUUUAUAUGUUUCUGUCUGAUGCUGGAGCUACAGUAGCUGACAGUUUGAAGAACUGGGUCAACGUGCAAAUAGUAUCUUUAGAUUAAUUUCUCCAGGAAAGACGGAGAAGGGCUUGAAUCACUAAGGGGGUGGAAUCCUACCACAGCCACAUACAGUUUUAUAGAAAUGUUCCAGUAAGUCUUGAUGGCAGGAUUCUCUAGCCUGCUGUCAGAUAUGUAGGCAAGGAGAGUGACAGAUAAAACAGCAUGCAUGAGCCAGAGAAGGAAUUUGAACCGACAUAUUUCUGCUGAUGCCAUAGUCAUCCCAGGAUCCUAUUGACUUCAAUUUGUAUUAGGUUUCCAGGCUUCACAAAUCCAUUAUCAUCAUGUUUGUGUACAUGUUGUUCAUGGGUGGCCCACGAUAUAGAAUGUGUGUUGUAGUCAAUUUUUUUUCUAGUUCUACAGAUUUUUCUACUGUGUUCCUUCCAUCUUUUCUUGGACAAUCCUUCAUAAAAUGAGAAGUGUACCAUUUGGAGGCAGAUGCUUACAGCUUUUGGUGUCAUGGAGGAGAGAAGAACUAACUAGUAAUAUCAGCAUUGAGCUAAGCAAACUAACCAAACCUCUGUUACAAACUAGUGGUCAGAGCAGCUGAGAACUAAUGAGAUGUAUUCUUGGAAGUCUGCGUGUUGGGGCUCCUGGGCGGCUCAGUCAGUUGAGGGUCCGACUUCAGCUCAGGUCAUGAUCUCUCAGUUUGUGAGUUUGAGCCCCGCAUCAGGCUCUGUGCUGACACCUCAGAGCCUAGAGCCUGCCUCAGAUUCUGUAUCUCCCUCUCUCUAUCCCUCCCCCACUCAUGCUUGCUCUCUCUCUCUCUCUCAAAAAUAAAUAAACAUUUAAAAAAAUAAAAAAAGAAGUCUGUGUGUUGUAGUGGAAAGAAAUUGUGGCUUUGAAAAUAGACCUAGGUUUAAACCCCAGCUCUUUGUGAUCUUGGGCACCUAAGUUUACCCCUCUAAGCCCCAGUUAAUCCAUCUGUAAAUAAUAAAAUAAUGAAAGCAUCAUGAGAGCCACCUUUCAGAAUUUUUACACAAAUUAAAUGUCUCUCAAGAUGACGUGUGUAUACCUUCAUGGAUAAGGUUGGUUUUAUCAGGGAAUAUAUAAAGCCACUGAAUGAAAAGGUAUACCUUAGGAGAACAUCAAUUUUGCUCUGCAUUUGGGGAGAAUAGAAUUUAUUAUAGAGUUUGUUCACAUGAAUUUUAAAGCUAAAACAUGAAAUUUAAAACAAAUUUAUGCUUGCAGUUAUUUCAGCUCAAACUUAGAUUCCCUAAAAGUACAAGUUGACUCAUUUCAACAGUUAAGAGUUCUCAGAAAGUUGUUAGAGGAACUUAUGCAUAUAGCGAUAUUUGGUAAAUGUUAUCAGUCAAGUCACAGUGAAAGAAACAGAAGUCAGUCUAGGUAACUUAAGCAGAAGGGUAUUUAAGGAAUUAGUUGUCUACCAAAAAUGGGAAGACCUUUUUGAUCGAGUCUCCAUUAAUGACCCUCGGGAGUCUUUAAAACUGAUUUAAUCAGGAAAAAGUAGAGAACCAGGAGGUUGCCAUUGGAAUUACCAAAAUUGUGCAGGACCUGAGGGGUGAUCCAGGAAUGAGGGAACUGGCACCUUGCAACUGCCUCUUGACACCCAGGAGGCUGAGUAAAUGGACACUGGCUGUCCCAGCCAGCUGCCAUCGCUUCUUGCCUUUGACCCUGACAGCCUUGCUUACCAGCAGUGGCAGUCAAAACUGCCACCUUCCUAAGCAAGGGAAGACAUCAAGUGUAUGUCUGGCAGAACCUAGCAUAUUUCCAAAACCCUACCUGUAAGGGACUCUGGGAAGAUGGAAUUUUUUUUUUUUUUUUUUUUUUAGCAUUCUAUGUUGUAAAGAGGGUGCAGUGAGCUUGAGUUAGCCAACUCACAGUAUCCAUCACACAAUGUUGGCUAGAUGAUAGGAGCUCAAGAAAUGCUAAUUCUCUUCCCUGUGCCUGUAAAGACUCAAAAUAAGAGCUUACAGGAAACUCUGAGCCUUGAUAAGGUUGGGGGAAUUGUGAUUAAACUAGUCCCUCCCCUACAGCAUCAGUUUUGAUGAGUUUUGGAAAUAGGUUGUAGUGGCAGACAGUAGGCUCACCAAAUAGUCCAUUUGUCCCCCCCCCCCCCCCGAAUCUCUAAGUCUUAUAGUUGUGUUGGGCCUUGUGACUAAUUCUGGCUAAUGAAAUAUGAGAAGAGGUGAUGUGUGUGCUUCUGAGCUGAGGCAGUGAUUGGCAAGUGUGUUCUUGGAGGUGCACCUUUAAAAUGGUGAUGUUUCCUUAAGACUGGCUUCCUGAGUGACCUGGUGGAGCAGAUCCCUACCCCACCCACCUCAGGCCCUUUGGAGAACAUAACAUGUUAUUUUCACAAACUUUAGUUAUGCUCAGUAACUGAGAUUUCAGGAUAAUUUAACGGCACAGCAUAAACCAAUCUUAUUGUGACCAAUAUGAUCAUCAUGGAAAUGUCCUAACAGUGCAUUCAAGCUGAGUAAUAUUUCCUGGGAGAUAACAGUCAUUCUCAAAGAGCUAGGCACCUUGAGUAAAUGCAGUUUUUUCCCUCUCUUUCCCAGUUUUUAUAGAUUU